UGUUCUGUUGCUAUAUGACAAUUUGCUGGUUUUUAAGGUUUGUAUCUAAAGGAAGUAUAUGAUUUCCCCAUAAUCUGUGUCUUAAAUGUUCAUAUUUUUCUUUUAGCACCUAGCAAAGUAGUAGUAAGGUAGCAGACUCCUUGUUCAUCUAUAAUAAUAAAAGCAUAUUAUGCUAAUUAGACCGGACGACCUUUUGGACGAAGCCGGAGCUGCAAGAGAAGCCCGGGUCCCGGGUGCCAGAGGGAAGCUGGUGCCGGCAGCCGGGUGAAGGAAGGCCUACUCUUGCACAAAUUUCAUGCAUCGGGCCUCUAGUUGUUAAAAUAAACUCAAAUUUAUUGAUAUUUACUCAAUUAAACAUUCAAAUUUCUUCCACUGAUAUAAAACUAAGUUUUAAGUAAAGGUAACUUGGCUCUAAUCCAAUGGGCCAGAUUAGAAUUAAAUAAUAAAAUUGGGCGCUAAGUUUAAUUUUGGGGAAUCACAAUAAAUCCAUUCUCCUAAGGGUACUCAGGCUGGUGCCAUUGUAUUCAUCUAGAUCCCCUCACAUUUAAUGAAGAAAUGAUCCUUUCUGAUCCACAAUCUGCUGAGUUUUGUCAGGUAUCGUCACGGGGGUGCCUGGAGUUACAAUGAGCACAUGAGUCAUAUUUUCUGUUACUCCAGGGAGAAGGGCAGAUCUUACCCACAAAUCCAGAAGGCAGCCUGCAGCACCUGGGGCUCCAUCCAGGAUGAAUCAGUGGGCACAGUCAGGCUGUCUCCUAUUCCGGUAACUGGAAUAUCAGGAUUCUCCAAAGAAUCAUGUGAUGACAAGGCAGCACACAGCUGCCCUCUGCAGUGCUGUUGUCCUUCACUCUUGCUGGAAGCCACCUGACCACUGCCAGGAAGAAGAAUGCAAAACAUUCCCAGGAGCGGCUGUGACGUCAGUACCACAUUCCACUCUCCGCGGUCAGGACUGUGGGGAAACUCCAGCCUCCAGCGAACCCUUCAGCUGAGAUAACAGCUGAGCCUGCACUAAAUCACACUGAGAACUUCCCAAUGUUAUGCUUUAAAGAUGGAUAUUUUUUAUAAAAAGGAGGGAGGGCAGGAACAGAGCUGGCUUUUUAAGGCAUAUUUACUGUUAAUCUUCAAAAGUGCUUUUUUGUUUGCUACGUGGAGGGAAAACAAGGAAAAAUGAUUUACCAACAGUCAUCAGCAUACCAAUCCCUUUGGGCCAGUGAUUUUCAACCAGGGUGCUGCAAGAAUUUUUAAAACAUGCAAUACCUGACUAUUUAGUCCGGGGCACUGAGCUCUUUGCCCUUAGAUUUGUAAAAUAAAACAAUGA